rnacentral:rRNA from 1 species
GUACGUAGGGACCGAGCGUUGUCCGGAAUCAUUGGGCGUAAAGAGCGUGUAGGCGGCUUGUUAAGUCUUGCGUGAAAUCUCGGGGCUCAACCCCGAGCGGUCGUGAGAAACUGGCAGGCUAGAGUGCGGGAGAGGAGAGUGGAAUUCCUGGUGUAGCGGUGAAAUGCGCAGAUAUCAGGAAGAACACCCGUGGCGAAGGCGGCUCUCUGGAACGCAACUGACGCUGAGACGCGAAAGCGUGGGGAGCAAACAGG